AGGUUGACUUCUGAGAGAAAGAGUCGCCAUUUUUAUUUGCUUGGGGUUUUGAUGUUAUCUUAAUUAACUAGAGUGCUACUUGUUAGGCAUUUCUUAGAAUUUGUGAUGGGUUUUAGUUGGUUUGGGUCGGCGGUUCGUGAGCUUGCUAUUAUUCUUGACGAAUUUUGAUGCUGAAAGACUUGGAAACCAUGCUGUCCACCACGCCGAGAAGCUGAGUAACAUUCUGCUUGUACAAUGGCGCCUCUUAAUAAAAGGAACUUGAGCCAUCCAAUCUAGGGCUUCCAUCCAAUCGUGCAGGCUGCAUGGAAGUCACAUUUACCUUUGCUGUGAACAUCAUGAACACAUACACUAUUUGAAGUGGUGUUGUUGCAGCCUUUGGUGGUGAAAGAUAUCUGCAUCAAGUUGCUGUUCCUGUCC
rnacentral:lncRNA from 1 species